UUAAUGACCAGCCACAGUGUCCCUGCCGUGAGCUCUGGCCACUGCCUCCGGGGCUCCCAAGCCACACACAAGUUUCUGUGCUGUUGGAGGAGGUAACAUGGCUUGUUGGCCUCAGCUGAGGUUGCUGCUAUGGAAGAACCUGACUUUCAGAAGAAGACAAACAUGUCAGCUAUUGCUGGAAGUGGCCUGGCCUCUAUUUAUCUUCCUGGUCUUGAUCUCUGUUCGGCUAAACUACCCACCUUACGAACAACAUGAAUGCCACUUUCCAAACAAAGCCUUGCCCUCUGCAGGAACGCUUCCUUGGGUUCAGGGGAUCAUCUGUAAUGCUAACAACCCCUGUUUCCGUUACCCAACUCCUGGUGAGGCUCCUGGUGUUGUUGGAAACUUUAACAAGUCCAUGUAAGUACCAGAUCAGGUUUUCUUUUGCACAUGUAUCAUUUAAUACUUAUCCAUGCUUUCUUGGAAAGGUUUGUUCAGAAAAGUCUGCAGAAUGAAGGAAGAGGAUUGCUUUAGGAUUUAAGGCUGUAGGGUGGGAUGUUACUUUGAUGCAUUUUAGGAGUAACAAGGAUAUGCAGCCAAAAGCUGUUUGGUUGGAGGCUGUUCCUCCAAAAACUGGCUAAUAAGAAGGGAAGGGAGACAUAGCCCAACUGGUCUGCCUAAUAAUCAGUCCACUUAUUAAGCGACACAUGAGAAAUGGGGGAGAUGGAUUCUUGGAACUGAGUUCUGCACAGC
rnacentral:lncRNA from 1 species